CGACGCCGCGUGGGGGAUGACGGCCUUCGGGUUGUAAACCUCUUUUACCACCAACGCAGGCUCGGGGUUUUCUCCGGGUUGACGGUAGGUGGGGAAUAAGGACCGGCUAACUACGUGCCAGCAGCCGCGGUAAUACGUAGGGUCCGAGCGUUGUCCGGAAUUAUUGGGCGUAAAGAGCUCGUAGGCGGCGUGUCGCGUCUGCUGUGAAAGACCGGGGCUUAACUCCGGUUCUGCAGUGGAUACGGGCAUGCUUGAGGUAGGUAGGGGAGACUGGAAUUCCUGGUGUAGCGGUGAAAUGCGCAGAUAUCAGGAGGAACACCGGUGGCGAAGGCGGGUCUCUGGGCCUUACCUGACGCUGAGGAGCGAAAGCAUGGGGAGCGAACAGGAUUAGAUACCCUGGUAGUCCAUGCCGUAAACGUUGGGCGCUAGGUGUGGGGACUUUCCACGGUUUCCGCGCCGUAGCUAACGCAUUAAGCGCCCCGCCUGGGGAGUACGGCCGCAAGGCUAAAACUCAAGGAAUUGACGGGGGGCCCGCACAAGCGGCGGAGCAUGUUGCUUAAUUUCGACGGCAACGCGAAAGAAACCUUACCAAGGUUUGACAUCACCCCGUGGACCUGCAGAGAUGUGGGGGUCAUUUGGGUUGGCGGGUGACAGGUGGGUGCAUGGGCUGUCGUCAGCUUCUGUCGUGAGAUGUUGGGUAAGUCCCGCAACGAGGCGCAACCCUUGUUCCAUUGUUUGCCAGCACGGUGAUGGGUGGGGGGACUCAUGGGAGACCGUGCCGGGGGUCAACUC
rnacentral:rRNA from 1 species